GACGAACGCUGGCGGCGCGCCUAACACAUGCAAGUCGAACGAGCGAGAGAGAGCUUGCUUUCUCAAGCGAGUGGCGAACGGGUGAGUAACGCGUGAGGUACCUGCCUCAAAGAGGGGGACAACAGUUGGAAACGACUGCUAAUACCGCAUAAGAACACAGGUCGGAAUCGACCAGAGGGAAAAGGAGCAAUCCGCUUUGAGAUGGCCUCGCGUCCGAUUAGCUAGUUGGUGAGGUAACGGCCCACCAAGGCAACGAGCGGUAGCCGGACUGAGAGGUUGAACGGCCACAUUGGGACUGAGACACGGCCCAGACUCCUACGGGAGGCAGCAGGGGGGAAUAUUGCACAAUGGGGGAGACCCUGAGGCAGCGACGCCGCGUAGAGGAAGUAGGUCUUCGGAUUGUAAACUCCUGUUGUUGAGGAAGAUAAUGACGGUACUCAACAAGGAAGUGACGGCUAACUACGUG
rnacentral:rRNA from 1 species